GUCCACGCCGUAAACGAUGGGUGCUAGGUGUGGGCGGUGUCGACUCCGUCCGUGCCGAAGCUAACGCAUUAAGCACCCCGCCUGGGGAGUACGGCCGCAAGGCUAAAACUCAAAGGAAUUGACGGGGGCCCGCACAAGCAGCGGAGCAUGUGGUUCAAUUCGACGCAACGCGAAGAACCUUACCUAGGCUUGACAUGCACUGGAAUUGCAUAGAAAUAUGUAAGCCCUUCGGGGCUAGUGCACAGGUGGUGCAUGGCUGUCGU
rnacentral:rRNA from 1 species